rnacentral:rRNA from 1 species
UACGUAGGGUCCGAGCGUUGUCCGGAAUUACUGGGCGUAAAGAGCUCGUAGGUGGUUUGUCGCGUUGUUCGUGAAAACUCACAGCUUAACUGUGGCGUGCGGGCGAUACGGGCAGACUUGAGUACUGCAGGGGAGACUGGAAUUCCUGGUGGAGCGGUGAAAUGCGUAGAGAUUGGAAAGAACACCGAUGGCGAAGGCACUUUACUGGGCUAUUACUAACACUCAGAGACGAAAGCUAAGGGUAGCAAAUGGG